AGAACGAACGCUGGCGGCAGGCCUCAAACAUGCAAGUCUAGGGGGUGUAGCAAUACAUCACCGGCGGACGGGUGCGUAACACGUGGGAAUGUACCUACUGGUUCGGAACAACGCAGGGAAACUUGCGCUAAUACCGAAUAAGCCCGAAAGGGGAAAGAUUUAUCGCCAGUAGAUCAGCCCGCGUAGGAUUAGCUAGUUGGUGGGGUAAUGGCCCACCAAGGCUCCGAUCCUUAGCUGUUCUGAGAGGAAGAUCAGCCACACUGGGACUGAGACACGGCCCAGACUCCUACGGGAGGCAGCAGUUGGGAAUCUUGGACAAUGGGGGAAACCCUGAUCCAGCCAUGCCGCGUGAGUGAUGAAGGCCUUCGGGUUGUAAAACUCUUUCGACGGGGACGAUAAUGACGGUACCCGUAGAAGAAGCUCCGGCUAACUUCGUGCCAGCAGCCGC
rnacentral:rRNA from 1 species